GACGAACGCUGGCGGCGGGCUUAACACAUGCAAGUCGAACGGAAAGGCCCUGCUUUUGUGGGGUGCUCGAGUGGCGAACGGGUGAGUAACACGUGAGUAACCUGCCCUUGACUUUGGGAUAACUUCAGGAAACUGGGGCUAAUACCGUAUAGGAUCUCCUGCUCCAUGGUGGGGGGUGGAAAGUUUCGGCGGUUGGGGAUGGACUCGCGGCUUAUCAGCUUGUUGGUGGGGUAGUUGCUUACCAAGGCUUUGACGGGUAGCCGGCCUGAGAGGGUGACCGGCCACAAUGGGCCUGCGAUAGGGCCCAGAGUCCUACGGGAGGCAGUAGUGGGGAAUAUUGCACAAUGGGCGGAAGCCUGAUGAAGAAGCGCCGCGUGCGGGAUGACGGCCUUCGGGUUGUAAACCGCUUUCGCCUGUGACGAAGCGUGAGUGACGGUAAUGGGUAAAGAAGCACCGGCUAACUACGUG
rnacentral:rRNA from 1 species